AGAGUUUGAUCAUGGCUCAGGAUGAACGCUAGNGGCAGGCUUAACACAUNCAAGUNGAGGGGCAGCANGUCUUNGGAUGGUGGCGACCGGCGCACGGGUGCGUAACGCGUAUACANUNUACCNUGUAGAGGGGGAUAGCCCGGGGAAACCCGGAUUAAUACCCCAUAGUACUUAGAUCCAGCAUUGNAUUUAAGUUAAACAUUUAUGGNNACAAGAUGAGUAUGCGUCCUAUUAGUUAGUUGGUAAGGUAACGGCUUACCAAGACCGCGAUAGGUAGGGGUCCUGAGAGGGAGAUCCCCCACACUGGUACUGAGACACGGACCAGACUCCUACGGGACGCAGCAG
rnacentral:rRNA from 1 species